CGUGACUUGAGUAUGGGCAUGCA
rnacentral:miRNA from 1 species